GCAGCGCCAUGAAGGCACAUCACCAGCGACCAGGAGGCGCAGAGUGAGUGCAGAGAAGUUUUCCUCCUCUCCGCCCCGAGUGUGCGAUGCCAUCCGAGACUCACCUGAGCAGGAUAACACACCCGGUCCAGCUGUUGGUGGCGUGUUGGAACAUGCCUUGACUUGUUGCACUGCCUGGGUGAAGCACAGGGGCCACAGUCCCAGGAAGAGAGGGAAGCGGCUCCUGGUCAACAGUGUGCCAGGGUGGAGUGACCCACACCGAGACCUGCUGCACCUGUGGACAGAGCGUGGAUGGAGGAGCUGCUUAGAGCUUCAAGCUGUUGGCGUAAGACCCCGUGCCCCCCCCCCCCCCCCCCCGGGCGUUCAGCGUGAGGCCUUAGCCUUCCAACAACCACCAGGAAGCCGGGCACGGGAAGUGUGAGCAUCCGCAGUGCCAGACUUACGGGUGGAGACGAUGUUGCCAUGCGAACGGAGGAGACCUAAUGAGUGCCGAUGAGGCAGAAUGGCCCACUUGCCAGGUGCACUGUAAUUAAGGGUAAACAAUGAAU
ensembl:lncRNA